CCUACGGGGGGCAGCAGUCGAGAAUCAUUCACAAUGGGGGAAACCCUGAUGGUGCGACGCCGCGUGGGGGAAUGAAGGUCUUCGGAUUGUAAACCCCUGUCAUGUGGGAGCAAAUUAAAAAGAUAGUACCACAAGAGGAAGAGACGGCUAACUCGGUGCCAGCAGCCGCGGUAAUACAGAGGUCUCAAGCGUUGUUCGGAAUCACUGGGCGUAAAGCGUGCGUAGGCUGUUUCGUAAGUCGUGUGUGAAAGGCGCGGGCUCAACCCGCGGACGGCACAUGAUACUGCGAGACUAGAGUAAGGGAGGGGGAACCGGAAUUCUCGGUGUAGCAGUGAAAUGCGUAGAUAUCGAGAGGAACACUCGUGGCGAAGGCGGGUUCCUGGACAUUAACUGACGCUGAGGCACGAAGGCCAGGGGAGCGAAAGGGAUUAGAUACCCUUGUAGUC
rnacentral:rRNA from 1 species